GAGACAACUCUUUGCAGAGCUGAAAUCCCUGACACAAAAAUUGCAUACUUUAUUUGUCACAAACUUUAAUUAAUAAUCAUUCUUGCUCUAAUAGAUUCAUUCCUCUGAGGACCCUAAAGUACUUCAGAAAAACUAAAAAAUGAAUAUCACGUUACACCAAAGAAGAAAUGAAAGCUGCCAGUGUCUUCUGAAGUUAAACAGGCUCCUGUUCUUUGACCCAGCAAUCCAAUCCCAGGACUCCAGCUAAGCCACUAUGCUGGGAGCAGAGAUGGGGAAGAAUUGCUGAGUCAUGAUAAGAGAAGGCACUACAGGAAGAAACAGUGAACUCUUAACAGCUGGGCAAGCAAUGAGUCAGCCUGGGUGGUCACUCCAGAUGCUCCCGGACACAUCCCAAUUUCUAGGAUGCCUUGCUUGCCAUGUUUGUGGACAUCCCCCCACUGCCCUUCAUCCUCAGAAAGGAACAGCCUCCUGUGGGUUGACUUGGUGAUAUCUGUCCAGAGAUAAUGUCUCCAGCCCCAGGCUCAUCACUCAGACAUCUGCCCUCAGGAGGACACGUUCAUCCCCAGCACCAGAGACAUGUCUGCCAAGG
rnacentral:lncRNA from 1 species